UGUAGUUCCUACCGCGAGACCGCUCCCCGUGCGGAGUGGCGCCGAACAAGGAGCUUUGGCGCUUGCGCUCCUCCUAAAGCCUGUGCUACUCAAUCUGUAGUCUGACAAACCUGCAUCACCACAGAAUCACCUUUAUGAUCUGAUCCUGGCCUGCAGUAAGCAAGGUCAUACAGCGGUGGAACCAUGGGGCAUCUCAGGGGUUGCACAAAGAGUGCACAAAAAGUGCAGGUAUAUUUGUUCCAACUAAAUUUGGGGCUUGUAGAGGAAAGAUGAGAACAGGAUGACCUCCACAAUGACCUCCCCAAAAGCUACAGAGAAGUCCCUUUAGAAGAACUACUCCAGUAUUUCGGCUGUGAGAACUCCAUGAACAGUAUGAAAAAGCAAAAAGAUAUGAUACUGGAAGAUGAGCCUCUUAGGUCAGAAGUUGUCUAAUAUGCUACAGGGGAAGAGAGGAGGUCAAUUACUAAUAGCUCCAGAAAGAAUUAAGUGAAGCGGUUGGGCCAAACUGGAAACGACAC